AGUCGGAGUCGUUCUGCUCUUCCAUGGUGGACACGCCCUCCGAGCCCGUGUCCUGCUUCUCCUCCUGGACAUGGCACAAGCACCGGCGCCAGUGUAACGAGAGAGGGGAGGGCCCUGUCAGCAUGAGUAAGAGGACAGAUGCAUGAUCGCCUGGCCGUGGAGAUCCGAAGCUUUACGACAUCACCCUCCCGCACCUCCCCGACCCACGCUGCC